CAUGUAGGCGGUUGUUUAAGUCUGAUGUGAAAGCCCUGGGCUCAACCCAGGAAGUGCAUUGGAUACUGGGCAACUUGAGUACGGGAGAGGAAAGUGGAAUUUCGAGUGUAGGGGUGAAAUCCGUAGAUAUUCGAAGGAACACCAGUGGCGAAGGCGGCUUUCUGGACCGAUACUGACGCUGAGAUGCGAAAGCGUGGGGAGCAAAACA
rnacentral:rRNA from 1 species